UACAGAGGUCCCAAGCGUUGUUCGGAUUUAUUGGGCGUAAAGGGUGCGUAGGCGGCGGAGUAAGUUGGGUGUGAAAUCCCGGGGCUCAACCUCGGAAUUGCAUUCAAUACUGCUUCGCUAGAGUACUGGAGAGGAGGCUGGAAUUUACGGUGUAGCAGUGAAAUGCGUAGAUAUCGUAAGGAAGGCCGGUGGCGAAAGCGGGUCUCUGGGCAACAACUGACGCUGAGGAGCGAAAGCGUGGGGAGCGAACAGG
rnacentral:rRNA from 1 species